UUUUUUUUUUUUCCUUCUUAGUCGUGUGUACAUCAUUGGGAAUGGAGGGAAAUAAAUGACUGGAUGGUCGCUGCUUUUUAAGUUUCAAAUUGACAUUCCAGACAAGCGGUGCCUGAGCCCGUGCCUGUCUUCAGAUCUUCACAGCACAGUUCCUGGGAAGGUGGAGCCACCAGCCUCUCCCUGGCUCUGCCGACUUCCAGUUCUGGAACAAGAUGGUUAAACUCAUUUUUCCCUGCUCUGCUCCUCUAAAUACAACUAAGUACCUUGGAAACUAUUCAGCAGACAAUGAUAAAGGGCUCUGAAAGCUAGAAGAAAAGGUGUACUUGCAAGAAACCUCAGGACUUGAGUAACAGCAACAUGUCUUGGACGAGCCUGAGGAUGUCUACAAGUGGAAGAAAAGAAGCCACUGGAGCAGAAGGUGGGGAGGAUAAAAUUUGGAGCAAGAUUCUCAAGGAAGCAACAAGAUCCUAAGGAAAGGAGAAAGAGACUACCUACUGCAUUUCUGUCACUCGCUGAAAAGGACACUCUGUCAGAAAAUCUUCUAGCAAACUUCAAAGGGCAAAAUCACCCCUUGUUACUGAUAAAGCCCAGAGAGCUUCAGCAGCUAACAUUCCCUGGACAGGGCACAGCAAGGAUUUGAACCUAGGUCAGUCUGGCCAGAACACCCACAAGCUUUCCUUAACUCAGUGUGCUAUCUCCCCACGACUAGGUCACUACUGCUUUAUAAUCACCUUUGUAGCCACCAGUGGAUUUUGCUCAUCAGUAUUUUUCAGGCAAUUGAUACUUUAGAUAUUCAGCUGCAAGACGUAUGCAGUUUUCAUUGACAUCUUUUGGAGAAACUGACAAACCUGGACUUGACUUAAUGCCUUUGGAACCUUCCAAGAUGUUAUAUAACUCUAGAUAGAAGGCUGGGCCUCCAUGAUGUCAGGAAUGUUGCAUUCUUAUUUCCCCAUAGAUAAACCCAUUUGUCCACAAAGUCAAGGAGUCAGGCAGAGGCCCUUGCCAUGGGGCUUUUUAGGAUAAAGCAACAAGCCUGGACUUUGCUCUACAACAGGGUUUUGCAUAGGGAGUGGUAUGACCAGAUCCCUCAAGAAAGAAAGCUUAGAGACCAGGCCAGAGUCCACUGCAGUAGCCCAGUCAAGAGAGGAUGGUGACUUGGACUUGUAGUAGAGCCAGUUAGAAUGAAAGAAAUUGACACAUUCAGAAAUGGUUUUAGAGAUAGAGUCAAACUGGACCUGAUAAAGAACUAGAGAAGCGGAGUGAGGAUAAAGAGAAGAGCCAUGACUGACUCGGAAGAUUUUGUCUUGAAAAACUUGAGAACUCAAGACAGAGUGAAAUAAAAUCACAUGUGGGAAAAA
ensembl:lncRNA MIR4435-2HG MIR4435-2 host gene